GACGAACGCUGGCGGCAUGCUAACACAUGCAAGUCGAACGAGAAAGUUCCUUCGGGAGCAAUUAAAGUGGCGCACGGGUGAGUAACGCGUAGACAAUCUGCCCUUCAGUCUGGGACAACUUUUCGAAAGGAGAGCUAAUACCGGAUAACAAUGCAUGACACAAGUUGUAUAUUUGAAAGCUUUAUGUGCUGAAGGAGGGGUCUGCGUCCCAUUAGCUAGUUGGUAAGGUAAAGGCUUACCAAGGCAACGAUGGGUAGCGGGUUUGAGAGGACGAUCCGCCACACUGGAACUGAGACACGGUCCAGACUCCUACGGGAGGCAGCAGUGGGGAAUAUUGCACAAUGGAGGCAACUCUGAUGCAGCAAUGUCGCGUGAGUGAAGAAGGCCCUUGGGUCGUAAAGCUCUUUUAUGGGGGAAGAUGAUGACGGUACCCCAAGAAUAAGCACCGGCUAACUAUGUGCCAGCAGCCGCGGUAAUACAUAGGGUGCGAGCGUUGUUCGGAAUUACUGGGCGUAAAGGGCGCGCAGGCGGAAUAGUAAGUCGGAGGUGAAAGCCCGGGGCUCAACCCCGGAGGGUCUUUCGAAACUGCUAAUCUAGAGAGGGUCAGGGGCCGGCAGAAUUCCUGGUGUAGAGGUGAAAUUCGUAGAUAUCANGAGGAAUACCGGUGGCGAAGGCGGCCGGCUGGGGCCACUCUGACGCUGAGGCGCGAAAGCGUGGGGAGCAAACAGGAUUAGAUACCCUGGUAGUCCACGCCGUAAACGAUGAGCACUGGACGUCCGGAGGGUUCGACCCUUCUGGGUGUCUCAGCUAACGCAUUAAG
rnacentral:rRNA from 1 species